rnacentral:lncRNA from 1 species
UUUUUUUCUUUUUCUUUUUUUUUUUUUUUGUCUUUUGUUGUUGUUGUUGUUGUUGUUGUUGUUGCUAUUUCUUGGGCCGCUCCCGCGGCAUUUGGAGGUUCCCAGGCUAGGGGUUGAAUCGGAGCUGUAGCCACCGGCCUACGCCAGAGCCACAGCAACGCGGGAUCCAAGCCGAGUCUGCAACCUACACCACAGCUCACGGCAACGCCGGAUCGUUAACCCACUGAGCAAGGGCAGGGACUGAACCCGCAACCUCAUGGUUCCUAGUCGGAUUCGUCAACCACUGCGCCACGACGGGAACUCCUCAUCUCCUUUUUUAAUUAAAAAAAAAAAAAGUUUUUUCUUGAAGUGUGACGUAAUUCUCAUAUCAUGAAUUCACCAUUCUUAAAGUGCAUAAUUCAAUGAUUCUUUGGUGUAGUCACUAGAUUGUGCAACCAUCACCACUAACUGCGGGACAUUUUCAUUAUCUGUCCCCAAACCCUGUACCCAUUAGCAAUCAUUCCCCAUUUCCUGUGCCCCUGCUUCAGCCUCUGGCAACUAGCACUUUCUAUCUCUAUACAUUUUCCUAUUCUGGAUAUUUCAUAUAAAAAAAAUCAUACAGUAUAUGAUCAUUUGUGACUGGCUUAACUUAGCAGAAUAUAUACAAGGUUCAUCCAUGUUGUAGGAGGUAACAUUCCUUUUUAUGGUGGAAUAAUUUUAUUUUGUAUAAAUAAAUCACAUUUUGUUUAUCCAUUUGUCAACUGAUGGACAAUUGGUUAUUUCCACUUUUUGGCUAUUAUGAAUAAUGCUGCUAUGAAUAUUUUUGUACAUGUCUUCACUUCUUUUGGGUACAUUUUUAGGAGUAGAAUUGCCAGUUAAUAUAGUAAUCCUAUGUUCAAUCUUUUGAGAAACUGCCAAACUGUUUUCCAAAGUACCUGCAUCAUUUUAUUUUAUUUUUUUUUAUUUAUUUUUUUUGUCUUUUUGCCAUUUCUUGGGCUGCUCCCACGGCAUAUGGAGGUUCCCAGGCUAGGGGUCUAAUCAGAGCUGUAGCUGCCAGCCUACGCCAGAGCCACAACAAAGCGGGAUCCAAGCCGAGUCUGCAACCUACACCACAGCUCACGGCAAUGCCAGAUCGUUAACCCACUUAGCAAGGGCAGGGAUCGAACCUGUAACCUCAUGGUUCCUAGUCGGAUUCGUCAACCACUGCGCCGCGACGGGAACUCCCUGAUUUUUUUCUUCUUUUUUUUUUUNUUUUUUUUUUUUUUUUUUUUUUACCUGCAUCAUUUUACAUUGCCCCCAAACAAUGUGUGAGGGUUCCUUUUCCAUUUUCUUAUUUUGCUAAUAUAGUCUCCUAGUGGGUGUGAGUUUUUUUUGUUGUUGUUGUUUAUUUAUUUAUUUAUUUAUUUUUGGUCUUUUUAGCUAUUUCUUGGGCCGCUCCUGCGGCAUAUGGAGGUUCCCAGGCUAGGGGUCGAAUUGGAGCUGUAGCCACAGGCCUAUGCCACAGCAACGCGGGUUCCAAGCCGAGUCUGCCACCUACACCACAGCUCACGACGCAACUCAGAUCCUGCAUUGCUAUGGCCCUGGCAUAGGCCAGAAGCUACAGCUCUGACUGGACCCCUAGCCCAAGAACCUCCACAUGCCCCGGGUGUGGCCCUAAAAAGACAAAAAGAAAAAAAAUUUCAGUGGUUGCCUUUUCACUCUGUUGAUAGGUCCUUUAAAUUUUGAUGGAGUCUAAUUCAUCUAUUGUUUCUUUCGUUACCUGGGCGUUUGGUGUCAUAUUCAAGAAAUCAUUGCCAAAUCCAGCGUCAUGAAGCUUCUUCCUUAUGUUUUCUUCUAUGUAUGGUACCCUUGCUACUUAUCACAGGAAUGGGUUGCUAUGGUGAUAGCAUGGUGGAGGACAAUUAAGGAGCUUGCAAAGUGGAGGAGCUUAUACACUCUCCAAGGUUGGACCUGGCACAUUCCUUCUCAUAAUAUCUGGGGCACCCUAAGGGCAGGGAGUGUCCCAAGUUCUUCAUGCCAAACUGGUCUCUGCUUUCAUUGCCAUUCUUGGGGGACAUGGGGUGCCCAAGACUACUGUGGGGGAGGCUACUGGGGAUGAUCACAAACUGCCAAGCAGCUGUAAUUCCCCUUCCAACACUGAGCAAAUAAUUCUCAAACAUUUCAAAAAUAUAUGGUGCGGAAUUCCCAUUGUAGCUCAGCGGGUUAAGGACCCAGUGUAGUCUCCAUGAGGAUGAGGAUUUGAUCCCUGGCCUCACUCAGUGGGUUAAGGAUCCAGCAUUGCUGAAAGCUGCAGUGUAGUUCGCAGAUAAAGCUUGGAUCUGGCAUGGCUGUGUAUGUGGUGUAGGUUGGAGUCUGCCCCACCCAUUCAACCCUUAGCCUGAGAACUUCCAUAUGCCUCAUGUGCAGCUGUAUAAAGAAGAAAAAAAUGUAUGAUGCUGAAAUAUCAGCCUGGGUAGCUGGGUUUGAAUCCUGGCUUCUCCUCUAAUGUGCUAUGUGAGCUUGAGUCUCAGAUUUCUCAUCUGUAAAUAGGGGCUAAUAACUUAUAGGGUUACUGAGAUGGUUAGAAGAAGUCAGUAAGGUACCUCAUCUACCACCUGGCACGUUGUAAGUGAUCAGUAGUGUUGGCUUUUAUGGUUAUUACUGGGCUUCUCGCCCAGCCUGCCUUCAGCUCCAGGACAAAAGCACAGCUAGGCGAGCCCAUCCUUUCUGGUUCCUUCUUCAUUCUAUGACUGUUCCGCCCAACUCUCUGCCUGGGUCUCUCCAAAGUGCUGAGUCAUGUUGCCAGGAUCUGCCCUUUGGCCAUGUUCCUGGGAUGAACCAAACUCUGGGGGUGGACAGGUGAGGGCCACAGGGCUCUGGAGCUAGACAUCCUGAAUUCCAGCCCUGGCGCCUCCACUGAGCAAAUGACUGUGUCUCUGAGCCUUGCUUUCCUCCCCUGUAAAGUAGGAAUGACUGUAUUUAUUUCUUAAAGCUGACACAAGGUUAAACAAGAUAGCAUAGAUGAGGCAGCAGGUAAAUGAUUUCUUAAGUUCUUUGCAAGGCUUUAUUCUGGGGAGUGUAGCCUGGACUAGUGGCUGGAGGUGAACAGGAGUCAGACACGAGGCAGAUGAUGACUCCACUGUGUUACAAGCACUGGUCCAGUUGCUCUGAGAGUGUGGAGAAGGCUCCUGAACUUGGCUGGAGGCUGGGUGGGGAAGGGGCUUAGGGAAGGCCUCCCAGAAGAAGUCUCUAGGAGCCUUGAAGGUGCACAGAACAUGACUGGGGAGGGAGUGCAGGUUGAGGAUUCAGCAUGAACAAAUGCAGGGAGGCAGGAAGGAGCUUGAAGUAUCGGUGAGUUCAAGCCAAUGCAUCAAAUUGGGUGGAUGCGGGUUAAGUUCCCAGAGAGCCUUGCAAGUCACCACUGAAUGACCCCUCUCAGGGGGAAAUAAGGAGCCAGUGAAGGGCUUAUGAAGGGAGUGAUGGGAGCAGAUUUUCAUUUCAGAAAGGUUUUUCUGGCUUCCCUGUGGAGUCUGGAUAGAAGGGGAUGGGAAUGAUCACAGGGAGACUCACGGAUGCCUUUCUACUAAUCCAAGCAAGAGGCCCCAACUAGAGCAAUGGCCAUGGGAGGAAGAUGGAGUCCAGAGAUACUUAGAAAGCAAGCCAGCAAGCAACACAGCCAGGAUCUGAACCCUGGUCAGGCCACCUACCACUCCUGAAAGCCCCAAACAGCCUGGGCCUGGUAACCUUGGUAUCUUGGGCUUUGGCUGGUGUAGCAAAGCACCCUAUUUGAGCAGAAUGUUGAGCGCCACUCCCCCACAUUCCUGCUUCUCUGAGGACAGAGACACUGCUGGCCCAACUGCGCCCUCUGAUGGCUGAAGGUGAGGUGACCACAGCUCCCCAAGCACCCUGCAGCCCAGGCCUGCGGCAGCCCCGUCUUUUCCGGUGGGAGGUCGGCUCACCAAAUUCCAGUGCUGUCUGCACAGAUGGGCCUGGGUUCACAUCUUACCUCCACCUCUUGGGUUGUGUGAGAUGCUCAGUCACUUCCUGCCCUGAGCCUCACUCUCAUCUGUAAACUGGGGAUGAUGCUUCAGCUCAGGCCUGGUGCACAGUAGGUUUGGCGUGGAGCUGGCACCAUUAUGUUCCACCAAGAGGCACAGAUGUCCAAGCAGCUUUGUUCAGACUCUGGGGACCCCAUCCCAGGAACCUAGCUCCUCACUCUGUCCCACUGUGCGCCCCCUACCUCAGGCUGGCCCUCCCUGGCAGAGACCCACUUGCCCACAUUGACCCUCUCCUUCCCUGAGAGGC